GAAUGCAACAACCGACCAACUAAGUCAACAGAUACGCAUAUAGAUAGAACUGCUCUACUCCUACUCGGGAUACAAAGCAUGCAAACAACGAGUAGUGUUUAACGAAUAAACAAGGGUGCAAGGCUCAAUAUACUAUGCGAUAGUAACAACAGAAGAGUAAGGGUAAGAAACCAUCACCAAGCGUGCACCACUAUACCGACGUCGGAUCG
rnacentral:lncRNA from 1 species